AUGGUAUGUUCGCCUGCCAUGCCCGUCGACCAAGUGGCGCGUCGGCGCUAUGUCUCUUGCCUUGACCCGGCCGUGUCACUGCACUAUGACGUGUUCCUUUUCCAUGAGGAUAUGCUGGCUGAGGAGUGGUUGUCAGCGAGGCACAAGAAGCCCGAAGAAGCUACUUCAUUUGGAAGUGUACUCGUCGCGCACCGGCCAGUGGGAGUUCCGAGAAUUUACGCCCGGACGUUGUGCCCCAAGCCACCUCUACCACGUGGUGGCUAG
rnacentral:rRNA from 1 species